rnacentral:rRNA from 1 species
CCAAUAGCGUAUAUUAAAGUUGCUGCAGUUAAAAAGCUCGUAGUUGAAUUUCGGGACUAAUAUGUCGGUCGUGCCUCGGUACGUACUGGCUUAUUGGUUUCUCCUUUCUGAAGAACCAUGAUGUCAUUUAUUUGGUGUCGUGAGGAAUCAGGACUGUUACUUUGAAAAAAUUAGAGUGUUUAAAGCAGGCUCACGCUUGA